GGAAAAACAAGCAUGUAAAGCUGGAGACAACGGGAAUGGAAGCACAAUGGACUUGAACCUUGUGAAGUUAAAUCAUCUGAAAGGGAAGAAAAACUUUGUGAUUCUUACAGAUUGUGGCCUGUGGAUCGCCAUGAUCUGAUCACAGUGCAAGGAAAUUUACUUGUCUAUAGAACCCAUGCUGGAACUAUCGCAGACUGAAGUAAUGCAGCUAUUUUGUCGACUAAGGUGAUGGAGCCAGGGUGAGAGAAUUAUCUACUUCUUGACACCAGGACUUCAGGUUGGCUCUGAGGUCCAUGGAUACCUUGUGCUUGGAUCCCAGCAAGGCCCUCAACAUAGCAUCAGCAGAGACACGGACCCGGCGAAGGGUGGGCCGCUUAAAC